AGGCGCGGAGGGGCGCGCCCGAACCCGAACCCUAAUGCCGUCAUAAGAGCCCUAGGGAGACCUUAGGGAACAAGCAUUAAACUGACACUCGAUUCUGUAGCCGGCUCUGCCAAGAGACAUGGCGUUGCGGUGAUAUGAGGGCAGGGGUCAUGGAAGAAAGCCUUCUGGUUUUAGACCCACAGGAAGAUCUGUGACGCGCUCUUGGGUAGAGCACACGUUGCUGGGCGUGCGCUUGAAAAGAGCCUAAGAAGAGGGGGCGUCUGGAAGGAACCGCAACGCCAAGGGAGGGUGUCCAGCCUUCCCGCUUCAACACCUGGACACAUUCUGGAAAGUUUCCUAAGAAAGCCAGAAAAAUAAUUUAAAAAAAAAUCCAGAGGCCAGACGGGCUAAUGGGGCUUUACUGCGACUAUCUGGCUUAAUCCUCCAAACAACCUUGCCAUACCAGCCCAUCAGUCCUCUGAGACAGGCGUACACUCUCUGGCAAGCCCAAGAAAGUCAGGGGCCUAUGUGAGCCAAAGAGGAGAGAAGGUGAUGCCUCAGCCCAGUGUUUCUGCCCCACCUCGCUUGUGGCCUUCGGAACUUGAUUUGCACCGCAGGAAAAUGGGCAAUGAAAACCCCUCCCUAACUGGCUUCUCAGUCCACUCUGACCA
rnacentral:lncRNA from 10 species